GCAUAAUAGCUUGCCUUCUAAUUAAAGGCUUGUAUGAAUGAACCAACGUGAGCUUAGCUGUCUCUACUACGCACAGAUAACUUAACCUUUAUGUGAAAAGGCAUUAAUAUAAUUAAAAGACAAGAAGACCCUGUCGAGCUUAAUUGUAACUUUCUUCAGAGAAAAAUAACUUUAAUCUCACCCUACAACACUCAAUUUAGUUGGGGCAACACAGGAACAUAUAAACCUUCCUUACACAUAUCUUUAUUUAUCUCAACUUCCCAACACUGUUGAACUUAAAAUAAAAGCUACCGCAGGGAUAACAGGUUAAUUUUUCUCGAAAGUACACAUUAACAGAAAAGU
rnacentral:rRNA from 1 species